CGUUAAGUCUGGUUGAGAAGAACAGCAGCAGAUCCCGAUGCAGCGGCAGCCGUUGGGCCGUCUAUAGAAGCAGCUGCCGACGGAUGACUAAAUCAGUUAUUUGUGAUUUCGAAAAGAUGGUCAGAAGGUUCCGUGGUGGAAUGGCAUGAGGAGAAAGAACUGGCGAGGAGAAAGAACUGUCGAGCACCCAAAAGCAACACUGUACGUUCUCAAGCAUUGUCGAGAAGAAGACAUCGACUGAACGUCUUUUUCGACAGUUCGUCUUAGGGAAGAUAUUGUGCAAUCAUAUUUUCCUUCUCACGUAAAACAUUUGCAACAGAUGGUGUCACAGCAGCUGUCCUUGCAUUGUAAAUUGUACUUAAAUGUUUGCGUUUGAGAUAAUCCAGCGAGUGAGAAUUGAUUAGGCAACGAAUUAUUCAUUUAAAAUUAUCAAAAUACUCGUAUUAAUUCUUUUUUGUUUAUAUAUGAUUAUUCUGCUCUGUGCUAAUUAUUAUGUUGGAGGAGUUUUCUUUAUUCUGGGAACUACAGCUCCACAAAAUAAUAAUACUUUAUGCGCACCAAAAACUUUGACAUGUAAUGCUAAUUUUACACAUCGGUUUGUUUUCUGUUGUCGCAAAAAGACGUUCCAAUCAACCAGACGCACCAUCUCAUGACACUAUUGUUCAUAUGAAGAGGAAUUUAUACACUGUAUGUGAAGUAAACGUGCAAAACAGGAAGAAAAUAAAGCUUCGUCAGCAGCCAAACUGCCGCUUCAAGCAGCGAAAUAGUCAUUUGACUCAUGAGAUAAAGGCCUUUCAGGAGAAGAACUACAUAGAUAAAGAGUACUUUAGUGCUAAACAGUGUACCCAGUGUAGCCUAAAUGAAGAGUUGUCGUGACACCAUCGUAGAACAAUAAGUGGUAUCAAGCUGGGGCUCUUGCAUUUGCAAGUGAUGCGCUAUGUAUGACAACAGAAUUUCAUUGAUUUGAUGGUUAGUGAAGUUAUAUGUAACUGUUUAAACAAAACUUUAUUUCUGAACUUGAUUGCUCACAUGAGGAUCACUAAUCACUUGAUAAUCACUUGGUACUAUAGUCUCAUGCACUGAGAACGCCUGAAGUCUGUUUCCCACAAAAACAAAACUGAAUGCAAGUACAGUAAUCUAUUUAUC